AAGGGUGGGGGACGCCAAUCCCAUGACGUUUCCUUGACGAUUGAUUGAAGAAGAAUUAACAGGGGGGAAAAAAGAAAAGAAAAGAAAUAGUUUCAAGCUGACGUGCACAACUCAAAAGCAACUACUAAUAAUAGACAGCUGGAUUGAAUUGUGGCACGGUGAUGGAUGAUGGCGUCGGGAAAUGAGUCGUGUUCCAGAAGCCAGGCCUGGACGAUGGCUAGCGUAUCCAUAAAGCUCCAAAGUAAAUGGUGCGAGAGUUAUUAUAUUUUAUAUAUCGAUGAUUCUUGGGGGAAUUGACUAACAAAUUUCAUUUCUUUUAACUAACUCAACUCAACUCAAUAUCCGUGAUGUCAAACUUUAAUUGAUUGAUUAAUCACUUCACCAACAAGCAUCAUCAUUUGAUUUUAAUCUUUGAUUUUGUGGGUCAUUUUACUAAUCAUAUCAUUUUGUCAAUAUUUUUUUGUACAUAUUAUUAAUUCAAGAGCCGAUCGAGCCUCGUUGUCCGUGAUUACAAUAUUUUGCAACUUUAUUUUUACUUCUUCUUUAAUCUUCAAACAAGGUGGCUGGCUAUCUGCUAUAAUCUAUACAUCAUAUCUCAACUUCUGAUAAUAUCUAAUUUACUAACAUUCUUCUCAAAAAGAAAAUUCACCGACACACGCGUUAUGUCAACUUGAGGAGGUAUGACUCUAUAUAUAUAUAGUAAAUGGUAAUUUCAUAAUUAUAAUUUCAAAACGAGAUUAAAAAUAAAAUGUCUCCUCUAAUAUCACUAACAAGUGAUGUUUGAAUUCUCAAUAAAUUAAAUAUAUUAUGUUCAUAGUUGGGUGAUAGUUAGUUAGUCUCAUUUUGGCGUCGUAAAUGAGUGAAGAGCCAUCGCCUCUUGUAAAUUAUUAUAUAUGUUUAAGUGUUGAGUGGAUUCCACUAACAUUGGAGGUGAGGUUCUCAAAUUAAAUCUUGUUUGAGCUAUGUGUAACUAUUUAAUAGAGACCCUGUUAGCUGUAGGGGAUGAAAAUUAAAAGAUUGUAAGUGACACAAAAAAUUUAGAAAUAGAAAGAAAUAAAAUGAAAACUGGAACAUACAUACAUACAUACAUACAUACAUACAUACAUGCAUAUAAAUCUAUUAAAAGGACCAAGAUAUCUAAAAAGGCGUCGAUCAUCCGCAUGGCUGUGGAGAAGCAAGAGUCGCUAGUAGUACUAGUACCUACUACCUAGGAGGAAAGGACUGAGAGAAUGGAGGCCGCCACGUAGGAGUACGAUUCGAAAAGAGCAACAGAAGUUAAAAAUAAAUAAAAUGACUGAGAGAGCCAGCUGGGAUGCAGUGUGGGGUCAGCAGUAGCAGGCAUUGGCAAAUAAAUGGCAAUCAAACCCUUGGGAUAUUCAUUACAUGGACAUGGACAUGGACAUGGACUCUCUCUCUCUCUCUGGUCUGGUCCACUACUCACGGUCGCAUCCAGGCUGUCACCGCUGACUGAACUCUCAGCAUAAAGGGCUUCUGGGAAUGGGUACAAGCCACAUGUGACAUGCUGGCAUUUGGUCUUUUUCUUCUUUCUUUUUCUGUUUUUUUAAGUAUUAUUAUUGGGACGAAAGACAACUGGCUCUCUUUACCCACACAAUACGACAACCCCCCCCCCCCCCUUCUCCAGAUGUAUACUAUGUCGUUUCAUACGGCAUACUCUCCCUCUUUUCUCUUUUUGCUUCAAAUAAUUUCUUCUUAUUUCAAAUUUCAAACACUCCACCUUUACCAUUUUCUAUUGUUUUGCUUUUUUUUUUUUUUGGAACUACAUAAGAUUAUUAAUUAUAUUA
rnacentral:lncRNA from 1 species